ACCAGUGACGAUUAUCUGACACCACCUCCGACCGCCUUUGUCUUCCCAGAUGUAUUGACAGACAUACGCUGUGAACCCGGCAAACCUAGAUUCGAUUCCCUGCCACGGAUACCAUCAAUGGCGAGUGACAUUCGAACCACCCGUCUUGAGCCCUACUCCUAGGACGUGAUUUGGAGGAGACGCUGUGAAUGAGUGAAAUGCCGGUGGCCACGAGAUGCUGCGAGCGAGCGAACGAACGAGCGAACAGGAGACGCCUACUCCUCAUCUUGUCCACGUGCGGGGGUGGCCAGGUUUGAAGAGACCCGUACCAAGCACGUCAUGGGGAACGAACGAACGAACCCCGAUUGCAACUGCGGGGGAGUAGG